CUGCCGGCACCGCCCCGCCACGGCACCGCCCCGGGGACGCGGGUUCGAGUCCCGGCACCGCACGGCUCCGGGACCGGAGCUCUGCGCCCGCCGGCGGCGCCACGUCUCGGAGGCACGUUUGUAACCCCAGGCACCGCGUUCCCAUCUCCAGCGCCUCAUUCCGAUCAUCAGAUGCCGUGUUGCAGUCUCCAGCACCGUGUUGCUAUCCUCAAGCGCCACGGUUCCUCCUGCACAAUAACAUUCUCGUGUCCAGCUCACAAAUGACAGUUUGAAGCAGCAACAACAUCCUUGUUGGAACAUCACUGUGUCCUGUCCCUGUAUCACUUUCCUGCCACCUGGAUUGUGCUUCAACUGCACCAGGUCUCAGCCAGCUCAUGACAUUUCUGCUCAGUGUGGCCACAGACAGCUGAACCCUGAGGUCUUUCCCUUCUCUGGCCUGAGCCUGCACUUGUCUGGAGAGUUUCUGUGAACAGGAGAAACAUUGGAGUGAGAGCAUCCCUGGGCAAGCUGGAGCUCCUCCUCAUCACCUCCGUGGUCCCAAAGCAUGAGGGGACUGCUGUGCUCUGCUCCCUGCUUGCAGUGAGAUUUCAGAACCUGAAAAUAAGAUUUGGGAAACAUCUGUCUUUGGGAAAGAGUGCCACAGGGAGAGGCACACUGUGGGUGGGAUGGCUCCCUGUCCCAGUUCCCAUUCCAGUUUCCCAGUCUCAGCAACAGGGGAGAUAGGCACGGGCUCAGCCUAGAGGCCAGAGCAACCUCCUCCUCUGUCACCAGCCUUGUGCAACCCUCUCGCCCUCCCUCCCUCCGAGGGUGUGGGAGAAUUCCUGGCAGGCAGGAACUGCUCGGGGUCCAGCUGAGCUUGGGAAACAGCUCCAGGAGCACGGG